rnacentral:rRNA from 1 species
UACAGAGGUGGCAAGCGUUGUUCGGAAUUACUGGGCGUAAAGGGCGCGUAGGCGGCCUUCUAAGUCAGACGUGAAAUCCCCCGGCUUUAACCUAGGGACUGCGUCUGAUACUGGAAGGCAUUGAGGAUGGGAGAGGAUGUAGAAUUCCAGGUGUAGCGGUGAAAUGCGUAGAUAUCUGGAGGAAUACCGGUGGCGAAGGCGGCAUCCUGGACCAUUACUGACGCUGAGGUACGAAAGCGUGGGGAGCAAACAGG